UUUCUCUUUUGCAUAACCAUCACCAGCUUGAGGAUAUCCACCGGAUGAGUUUUAAAAGCUGAGAAUUAAUAAAAGGAUGAGUAAUACAGAGGUAACAGUGAUUGUUUAUUGGGUGGCUGUUUACUAGAAACAAAUGAAAGACCUUCAUAUUCCGAGGGCUAUAAAACAGUAAUUGGGGUUGACACCGAUAGCACUUUGAGUGCGUUACAAGAAACUAUUGUUGCUGCUAUUAACUUCAACUUGAGCAAUAACUAUAUGAACAUCAAGUGUAGAUGGCCUAUAAAUCACGGUACUAGUACUAUAAUUAAUAUUGAUAGCGAUAGAGCAGCAUCAUUAAUGUUGAGGUUGUGUACCCCAAUAUUAUACGUGAAUGAAGGAGGACUGUGUGUAAUCCCAACCACUACAUACACUGUGGACACUUUGUAAUUUUAGGUGCGCCACUGAUAAAUAAUGACGUUGGAAGCUCCAGUGGUCAUCAACAUUGGAGAUGUAAUGAAGAUCCUAUUACACCUGCAAAUGAGGCUGAUAAUGUUAAGUUUGAAGCCCCUACAAAUGACAACAAUGAUGAUCACAGUGAUGACCAUGAUGACAAUGAUGACAAUGAUGAUGAUGAUGAUGAUCACAACAAUGAUGACAGUGACGAUGAAGACGAAAGUAGUGAUGAUGAUGCAAGUUUACCCAAUGAUGUGCAAGAAGGUGUAAUAGCAGAAGAUGCCAUGCGCGCAACCACUUCAAACAUGGAGCAAGGGGCAAAUGUGGCCUCACAUGAUUACACACAAUUUGAGCCUAUUCCUGGUAUGUCAAUAAUAGAUG